GCACCGCACCUGCCUGUCUCCCUUGUCCCCCUCUCUCCCUCGUCACGUUCUCUCUCUCUCCCCUUUCCUCCCUCGACUCUGAUCCAGAUCCAACCUCGGUGCCAUGUUGCGCCCUCUUCCCCAUCGCCGCCGGCCACCAUCCCCACACUUUCUCUCCCUUUUCCCGUGGAUCCAUCUCUUCCAUGGACGCCUCCCACACCGUCUCCUCCUUCCCCCAUCUCAUCACUAGGGAAGAAAAAGGCAAGCGAGAGGGAGAUCGGCCGUGUAGGUCAGAUCCAUCCGCCACGACCUCGACGGAGAUGGCCAAGUGGAUGGAGCGGACCUGCAAAUCGUCAAGCCAAGGGCAGCAGGGCUCCAUCCUUGUUCUCUUCUCCAUGGGGGUCACGCACAGGGCUCCACCUACAAGUGAAGAGAAGACCACUGCUCCUCCGGGUCUGCUUCUUCCUACUCUUCAAGGUCCCUCUCUCCCUCUCAUGCUCUGCUUGAAUUAAUGGCGUUAGGUGUCACAACCAAACUGAAACUUUUUUAUCUUCAGAGAGGAGAAAACCGAAUCUUUAAUUAGGUUAGCUUGCACCUGCUGCUGCUUUUUUAUCUUCAUUUAUUUAUCAGAAAUAGUAAUUUACAUUGAAGUUUUUUUUAAUUAUUCACAGACACUUAUUUAUGCAUUGUUCUUCCUGUAUAUAAUAGAUGUUUUAUUUUUAGUUGUUCAGGUUCUCAUUGUAUGUUUAUCCACUGUAUAAUGUAGGAGUGCAAUACUUAGAGCUGAAUUUUACUUAAAUGAGAUGCAACGGCGUUUUUUAUUUUACAAAUAACAAUAAUCUAAUCUACCUUAAUUAGAUCAGCUAUGUUUAUGGCAAACCUUCUUAGAAAGCAAGAAAUGCCAAUUCUUGUUUAUGUGGUUCGGCAUUCUUUCAUUGUUCUGUAACUACUUUGUGUCAUGAAUUCAGUUAUACACUGUUAUAGGAUAGAUAGCCUAGACCACAAAAGGCGUGGCAUUGAUUUAGUGGCAGCUGAGCUGCUGAUAAAGGGCAUGGGUGAACAAAUGAAGGUGACUGGGAUUUUGAAAUGAAGUUAAAUUGUGAUCAGCACAAAGCUUUUGUCUUAUUUUUUAUGUCAACUAAUGCUAUUUGUGAUUUCACAAAUUGCCGUCAGCUUGUGUUAUCAUAGUAUAGCUUCUUUAUGAUUUUUUAGCUUGACACAUUUGAUGCCACAAAAUUCAUGAGUAGUCAAAAUUGAAUGGGAUACUGAGUAUUUGAAGUUCCCUAUUGCCGGACCAGCUAAUCAUGUCGCCAGGCAACUCUUCUCA